UACGUAGGGUGCGAGCGUUGUCCGGAAUUAUUGGGCGUAAAGAGCUCGUAGGCGGUUUGUCGCGUCGACUGUGAAAACCCGAGGCUUAACCUCGGGCCUGCAGUCGAUACGGGCAGACUAGAGUUCGGUAGGGGAGACUGGAAUUCCUGGUGUAGCGGUGAAAUGCGCAGAUAUCAGGAGGAACACCGAUGGCGAAGGCAGCUCGCUGGGACGGUACUGACGCUGAGACGCGAAAGCGUGGGGAGCAAACAGG
rnacentral:rRNA from 1 species